rnacentral:rRNA from 1 species
AACGAACGCUGGCGGCAUGCCUAACACAUGCAAGUCGAACGAGAUCUUCGGGUCUAGUGGCGCACGGGUGCGUAACGCGUGGGAAUCUGCCCUUUGGUUCGGAAUAACAGUUGGAAACGACUGCUAAUACCGGAUGAUGACGAAAGUCCAAAGAUUUAUCGCCAGAGGAUGAGCCCGCGUAGGAUUAGCUAGUUGGUGUGAUAAAGGCGCACCAAGGCGACGAUCCUUAGCUGGUCUGAGAGGAUGAUCAGCCACACUGGGACUGAGACACGGCCCAGAAUCCUACGGGAGGCAGCAGUGGGGAAUAUUGGAAAAUGGGCGAAAGCCUGAUCCAGCAAUGCCGCGUGAGUGAUGAAGGCCUUAGGGUUGUAAAGCUCUUUUACCCGGGAUGAUAAUGACAGUACCGGGAGAAUAAGCUCCGGCUAACUCCGUGCCAGCCGCCGCAGUAA